rnacentral:rRNA from 1 species
UAGGGAAUCUUCCACAAUGGACGCAAGUCUGAUGGAGCAACGCCGCGUGAGUGAAGAAGGUCUUCGGAUCGUAAAACUCUGUUGUUAAAGAAGAACACGUAUGAGAGUAACUGUUCAUACGUUGACGGUAUUUAACCAGAAAGUCACGGCUAACUACGUGCCGG